UCUGGCACAAAAAACUUGUGAACCUCAGUCAAUAAUUGAUUUUCCAGUUUUUGAUUUCUUCAGCUCAGAACAUGUCGACUGAGAAGAGUCCGCUUGAGCAAACGUCACCUGCUGUUGCAUCAUCAUGCCGAAAAAAGAAGUCUGAAAGUGCCACAUUUUUGGAGGAUGUGAAGGAUCAUAUUGAUGAGUUUAUACAUGCCUCAAUGGAUGAACACGCAUCUUGCUUUAAGAAGACCAUCAAUAAGAUGUUUGGGAUGUCUAAAAUUGUCGCUGAAAGAAAUGCUGAAGCAAAGGAGGUUGAGAGCUCACUUCCUCUCCAAACUGUUGUAUCUGAGUAAAGAUUCCCUAAGUAGAAAGAACUCGGGAAGGUGAGAUUGUGGAGGGUCAAAACAUGUAUGCAGUCUAAAGCCCCUUCCCUCAUCAGGUUUUAUUGUGCUAUCCACAUAUAUCAAUAAACAACAAUUUGAGAUGCUCUUGCCUGAGAAGUUGUGCUGCUUUUUACAUCUGUUGGUUUUACCAAACAUUAGACAUGUCUAGAUAAACAAAAUAAAUGGGCACAACAAUUUGAGAUGCUCUUGCCUGAGAAGUUGUGCUGCUUUUUACAUCUGUUGGUUUUACCAAACAUUAGACAUGUCUAGAUAAACAAAAUAAAUGGGC
rnacentral:misc_RNA from 1 species